rnacentral:rRNA from 2 species
AUACGACUGUCGGCAACGGAUAUCUAGGCUCUCGCAUCGAUGAAGAACGUAGCAAAAUGCGAUACUUGGUGUGAAUUGCAGAAUCCCGUGAAUCAUCGAGUUUUUGAACGCAAGUUGCGCCUGAAGCCAUC